AUACUUGCUUGGCGUGGGGGAUACCGUGAACAUGCAGGCGGUUCCCCCAGGGCGAGGCUGCUCCAUUGCACUGCCGAGUGGUUGAUCCUUGCGAUUAUUUUUAUUUUUGUCAAUAAAAAAUUGUAUACCCGAAUAAUUAUUUUCUUUAUACCUCGAAUAGAACUUAAAAUUAAUGUUUUUAUAAUAAGGAACUUCGUUCUUAUC
rnacentral:snRNA from 9 species